rnacentral:lncRNA from 1 species
GGCUCGCUGUGUAGGCUAGUUGUUCACCCCGCCGCCCAGGCAGGUCGCAGGUGAUGUGUCCUGUGGUGGACGCGCAGUUACAGGACAGCGAGUGGCAGUGUUACUUACGCACACUGUGACUGAGUGACUGACUGCGCGUUCAUCGCGACGCCCUGCUUUGUCUGAGGCUCUCCGGCUUGGAUUCGUUUGAUCCGGAGGGCAACGGAGCCCGCAACGUAAAGCAGCGAUCACCCCCCCUCUUUCCUCCAUCUCACUCUGCCACAAAACAGCCAUAAAUAAAUAUGAUGAUGUUGUUUUCCGCAAUAGCGCCGGCGGCAGCGCACGCAACUGAAGAAGAGCGAAAAAGUAGCAAUUAAUUAAGGCACAUUCAUUCACCCUUUUUUUCAUUUCUGCGCAUAAGGCUGUGUGAUACGAUUAAUAAAUCAACCACAUAUUAAUUAUAAGCCUUAUAACUUAGGCCGGGCGGCGCUGUGCGGUGUGAAAGGUUUGGCACGGAGCCCUAGAACCGUUAGGGCUGAGGCGGAUGAGCGCUUACUUUUGCUGCCCGUGGAAGCGCGAGCUGCGUGACACGCGCGCGCGCGCACACGCACACGCGCACACGGCCCCUCCGCGGCUCUGCCGCAAACGCCGCUUCGCAGAGCGCAGCAAACUUACAAACUUGACUGACUGCAGUCCGCUCGUGUGCGUUUCCACGGAACGGCUCCUUCCUUGUCUCAGAAAAGUGGGGGAAAUGGUACCCGGCAAUAAGAGACGGACACAUAAGAGUCAAUUAGGACGGUCUUCGGAUGAGGAAUCCUUUCUGAAGUCUGGCUUGGGUGGGAACACAAAUCCUGCCAGCGGAAGUUGGCAGAAGGGAGGCAGAAGUAUGAGAGACACCAGGCCCAAAGAAACUGUGAAGCCCAGCUUUGCUGUUCUCCUCGGGGUUGUUAUUUAGGGCUCCAAUCAGCAUAACUGGAGCUGAACAAGUUGCACAUGAAUUACAAAUGAAGAUCAUCAAGAUGGCCUGUCAGCAUUUUCAAAGCUGGUGCCACCCAUAAGUUGGAACACCUUGCCGAUCCGGGUGUUUGUGUGUGUAAUGUUUCUAUAUUACUGCUGCAGAGUAGUCAGCUGGGGUAAUACCAGUCGAACUGUCCCGAAUCCCAUCAGUGCAAUCACAUAUCCACCAUCAUAUGGCAAAUCUCAGCAUGCAACUCACAGCAUUAACAGUGUACCCCUUUCCAGUGAACGUAUGAGUCAGACCUACCAUGUGGUCUUUUUGAACAGCGAGUACUGAUUCACGUGGAGCUAACAGGGUUUUCAAUAGCAACAACUACAAGUACAGUUCCCAAAUACAUAAUGAACUUAGCAACUAAUUAGGACCAGAUUACCACAUGCCUAAUAUAACAAAGAUGAGAGCCCUUACAUCAUUGUUGUCCACUUCAUGAAGCAAUCCAGCCUUUACUUUUGUGUUUUCUUGAAACACAAUAAAUACUGUGGUGCGUAGCA